rnacentral:rRNA from 1 species
CAGUCGCCACGGGAAUACGUAGGGGGCAAGCGUUAUCCGGAAUUACUGGGUGUAAAGGGAGCGUAGACGGUUAAACAAGUCUGAAGUGAAAUGCCGGGGCUCAACCCCGGAGCUGCUUUGGGAACUGUAGAACUGGAGUGUCGGAGGGGUAAGCGGAAUUCCCAGUGUAGCGGUGAAAUGCGUAGAUAUUGGGAGGAACACCGGCGGCGAAGGCGGCUUACUGGACGACAACUGACGUUGAGGCUCGAAGGCGUGGGUAGCAAACAGGAUUAGAUACCCGGGUAGUCCCUGUCUCUUAUAU